UGCCAUUCGUAAUAAGCAAAUGAUGUGGAUGUAAGGGCUCGAGUGGGUGACUGUUUAACAUCAAGAUAAUACAGGCCACCAGCUUCAUGCUUGUACCAAUCUUGUUUCCCGUCUUGAGAUCCUGAAAGACACAUGAAGAGGGAUAAAAUGUUACUGAACAUUGAAGACUUUAAGUAAUUUUACUGAUGGACAGCAAACUAAUGGGACAACUAGGAGCAUAUAGAACAGAUGACAAGGAUAUAGAGUCAGUGAGCUUAGUGGAUCCAAUGCCUGUAACUUUAGCAAGAGAACCAUUAGCGAGAGUAACACUUUUUGGAGAUGUCACAGUAUCUAACUUAGAUAAGACAGAGGACAGACCAGUCAGAUGUUCAUUUGCUCCUGAAUCAAUGAUCCACAGAUCUUGAGUGGAUGAGGCAAGACAUGCGGAUGCUAGACAUAAGUGGGUAAGAGUAGCUAUGGAGGAUGAAGCCCGUGUGGGACCCAAAAACAGCUCAUACUCAUCCUUCGAUAUACUAAUCAUACCUGAGUUGGAGUUAGUUGACUGUGAUGUAGCAUCUUGGCAAAUGUCCUGAUUAGCAGACCCAGAUGGUCUACCAUGUAGAUCCCAAUGAUAGUCCACCGAAUGGUUAGUGCUACCAUAGUGGGUGCACUUACGAGGCUCUCAACCUCGAGUGCGAUUACCUUUGGCAUGACGAGCAACAUAAGAGGUAACCGCAUCUUAUAACUGUGACUCAAAUUUAGUUGUCAUAUCUGAGAAACUCUACACAAUAUCACAACUGAACUUGGAGAUUGAAACUCCACACAAUAUCUGAGAAAAAUCACAAUUCAACUUGAAAAAUCUGAGAAACGCAAUCUGGAAAUGUAGAUACUUAGCCCAAGUACUGGAAAAAUAACUCGAAUACCAAAAUUUCGGUCUUGUAUCAGUAUGAACCGGGCUGUUUCGAGUCUAAACCGGGAUGUUUCAAGCUGUAUCAGAUGUGUUUCGGGUCUGGACCGGUACCGGUUUAAAAACUGAGCAGAAACAGGAAUAUGCUAUCCUAAACAAGGAUAAGAAUACCGUAUACAUGUUACCAAAUAGGUGUUAUUCUGGAUAGGAAUACACUUUUACUCCAGGUU